rnacentral:rRNA from 1 species
GUGCCAGCAGCCGCGGUAAUUCCAGUCUCCAAUAGCGUAUAUUAAAGUUGUUGUGGUUAAAAAGCUCGUAGUUGAACCUUGGGCCUGGCUGGCCGGUCCGCCUCACCGCGUGCACUGGUCCGGCCGGGCCUUUCCCUCUGUGGAACCCCAUACCCUUCACUGGGCGUGGCGGGGAAACAGGACAUUUACUUUGAAAAAAUUAGAGUGCUCCAGGCAGGCCUAUGCUCGAAUACAUUAGCAUGGAAUAAUAAAAUAGGACGCGCGGUUCUAUUUUGUUGGUUUAUAGGACCGCCGUAAUGAUUAAUAGGGACAGUCGGGGGCAUCAGUAUUCAACUGUCAGAGGUGAAAUUCUUGGAUCAGUUGAAGACUAACUACUGCGAAAGCAUUUGCCAAGGAUGUUUUCAUUAAUCAGGAACGAAAGUUAGGGGAUCGAAGACGAUCAGAUACCGUCGUAGUCUUAACCAUAAACUAUGCCGACUAGGGAUCGGACGGUGUUAUUCAUGACCCGUUCGGCACCUUACGAGAAAUCAAAGUGCUUGGGCUCCAGGGGGAGUAUGGUCGCAAGGCUGAAACUUAAAGAAAUUGACGGAAGGGCACCACCAGGGGUGCAGCCUGCGGCUUAAUUUGACUCAACACGGGGAAACUCACUCAGGUCCAGACACAAUAAGGAUUGACAGAUUGAGAGCUCUUUUCUUGAUUUUGUGGGUGGUGCGCAUGGUCGUUCUUAGUGGUGGGGUUGACUUGUCUGCUUAAUUGCGAUUACCGAACGAGACCUUUAACCUGCUA